GAAAGUUCUAAAAGACAUCCGUGAGAUGAAUAUCAAUGCUGCCAUUUUGGACAGUGCAUUGGAAAUCAAGCUGCAGAAGAACCGUCUCCAGUGAAUCAACAUCCUUCUUGAAUUGUGGGCACCAGAACUGGACACUGUAUUCCAGCAGCGGUUGCACCAGUGCCAUCCCAGCAUCAUGUUAGCUGUUUUGUCCAGAGUCACAUUGGGUGUUCAUGUUCAGCUGAUUAUUCACCACAAGCCCCAGAUCUUUUUCAGUCAUUGCUUCCCAGAAUAGAGUCCCACAUCCUUAAACUACCUGUGACCCUUUGAAUGGUGAGUUGCCUUAUGCUAAUCAAUGCAAUUAACUACCUGUGUAUAAAUAGGAAAUAGAAGGUUUACUUCAAAGCAACAAUGUAUAUUACCUGUUCUUCAUCCAAGGAAUGCCUGCGGUAUUAUCUGCUGUCAAGAGGCUAUUGUAGCCUGCCAGAGAACUCUAGGGCCUGAUCCUGUCAUCUCAGAUCUGCUUAAGCUUUGUCAGGAGACGUUUAAGUUGCAAGACUGAGCUCUCCAACUCUAUUUUGGAUUGCCCUGCAAUUUCUCAUGGAAGAAUUUAAACACAUGUCCUGCCUAUUGCACUAUGACUUAAUGAAUUGAUUCUGAAAGGAUUUUUUGCAACACAGCAGCUCAACAUCUGUGCUACGAAACCGACCAAGGACUUUCUUCA